rnacentral:rRNA from 1 species
UACAGAGGGUGCGAGCGUUAAUCGGAAUUACUGGGCGUAAAGCGCGCGUAGGCGGCUUUGCAAGUCGGGUGUGAAAUCCCCAGGCUUAACCUGGGAACUGCACUCGAGACUGCAUUGCUAGAGUAUGGGAGAGGGAAGUGGAAUUUCCGGUGUAGCGGUGAAAUGCGUAGAUAUCGCUUGGAACGCCGAAGGUGAAAACAGGCUGCUGGGGUUGCGCCGACGCUGAGACACGAAAGCCAGGGGAGCAAACGGG